rnacentral:rRNA from 1 species
UCGAGCGAGAAAGUUUCUUCGGAAGCGAGUAAAGCGGCGAACGGGUGAGUAACGCGUAGGAAUCUACCAUUCAGCGGGGGAUAGCUCGGGGAAACUCGAAUUAAUACCGCAUAUACCCUACGGGGGAAAGAAGGCCUCUCCUUGGAAGCUUUCACUGUUUGAUGAGCCUGCGUGAGAUUAGUUUGUUGGUGAGGUAAUGGCUCACCAAGGCUACGAUCUCUAGCUGGUCUGAGAGGACGAUCAGCCACACUGGGACUGAGACACGGCCCAGACUCCUACGGGAGGCAGCAGUAGAGAAUAUUGGACAAUGGGGGCAACCCUGAUCCAGGCAUGCCGCGUGUGUGAAGAAGGCCCUAGGGUUGUAAAGCACUUUCAGUAGGGAGGAAUUAGUAUAGUUAAUAGCUAUGCGAAAUGACGUUACCUACAGAAGAAGUACCGG